CCACCCGUACCCUAGUUUCCUCUCCUUCUUCAUUUUCUCCGCCUCUUCAUUUUCACAUUGAUAAUGUUCAUAACUCAUUUCGGCUUCUCAACCUUUGUGGUCCCAUUUUCCCUCAAUCAUAUCCUUUUCCUGCUUUGUUUGUUCAUCUUCAAAGACAGUGUAAGGCUCUUGAGGUUUGAUCGCAAUCAAGACUUGGAAACAAAUUUGUCAAGAAAAGAAACAAGGAUGCCCCUUCGUGGAGAAGCUGAUAGAGUCAUACCUAAUCCGCUGCAUGAUGGCCUCCGUCCGUGGGUGUGGCGACAGCGGUGUUUUCUUUGCGACAAUGGUGUUUUAGCGUCUUCACGGCGAGUUUCCGGUGGCUCAGGCGUGGUGUUUUCACGAUGCAAGGAUCUCGUUUUCCAGCGUCUUAGCAGCGGUAGAGACUUGGAUGGAAUUCAUGAUUGAUUUAGGGUUUGAAUUCGGGUUCUGUUUUUAGGGAUUUAAAUGGGGUCCAAUGUCUCACGAUUUUGGGUUUGGCCAUGGAGAAGAAGAAAUUCCAAGUAUGGAGAGCUAUUUUAGUGUGAUUGAUUGCUUGUAUGUGGUAUGAUUUGGGAUUUAGAUGUCACUUAUUGGUGAAACCAACGAUGUAGAAAAUAAUGUGUUCGAUUUAGGAGCAUUUGUCGGUGACCUAGCUUUGGAAGAGGAUCCGACGAUGAUAUAUCGUUGGAAGGACUAGAGCAUCGAUGAAAAUUUUAAUUGCUACUCAAAUUUAUAUUCCUUGUGGAUUAUAUUAAAGAAAGUGAUAAUCUAGUCUCUCUUCAUGAUCAAUUUCGUUAUUGUGAUAGGUCACAGAUGGAAACUCUUCUAAGUGGAUUUCAGGAACUUGGAGAGUUGGUGGUCUUCUUGUUGUUUCUCGUGCAUUUGGCAAUAGACUCCUGAAGCAGUAUGUUGUUGUUGAUCCAGAAAUACAGGUGAGUUUAGAAUAUAUCUCAUAUUGUUAGAUCCAUAAAUAUAUGUGUAUAGAGUGCAUGAUUUACUAUAUAAAACAUCCAUUCAGUAAAUUAGAGACCAAACUCUGCUUCAUAUGUACUAUAGCAAAUCAUAAAAUCGUUUAUAUCUUACUAGACUUGACUGUUUCAAGGCCUGUGAAACUAGAUUGAAGGAAUCUGUAAAUUACCAAGUCAUUUCUCCUUAUGAUCUGGCAAAGUCUGUUAUAUAUGAAGUUGGCUGGUCAAAUUUUAUGGUAUUAUCUUUAUCUUCAUGAUUGAUUUAUGACUAUGUACUCUGUAAUUCUCUCUCCCCUCAACCUUUAUGAAGAAGAGGAUAUUUUUUUGUCCCUAUUUACGAUAGUGUUAAUCUUGUUCAAUUUAUAUCUAUUGUUGUUGUUGCUAAGUGUUUUUAAUUUUAUAUAUUUUUUAUAGUCUAAAGGAAAGAAUUUUGACAAGCCUCUGGAUCUAGCACUUUUAUUCUUGGUAGAUAGGUAAUAUCUUUCAAGCUUCUAUAUAGAUAAAGAGUUCAUAUAUUUCAUUUUGUUAGAUUUCUUAGCUUUUAGAUUCUUAAGGUCUAUGUCUCAGAAGCUUCAAUUCAAAGUAUGGUAGACUGAUUGACUGGGCCAGGGUGCUGCUACUAGAACAGGAGAGGUUGUUGGAAGGAUGUCAGGUGAUACUGUUCUUGUUCAAGAUGCCAUGCGUGAAAAUGUAGGACAGUUCUUACAGUUAUUGGCAACUUCCAUUGGAGGUUUUGUAAUAGCAUUCAUCAGGGGAUGGCUUCUAACUAUUUCCAUGUUAUCUUGUAUUCCACUUAUUGUUUUGGGUGGCGCCAUGGUAAGCCUUGUUAUUGCAAAAGAAUCGUCCAGGGGACAAGAAGCUUAUUCCCUAGCUGCAAUUGUAGUAGAGCAGACAAUAGGUUCUAUCCAAACUGUAUGCAUACUGAACAAAAUAACUCCUGAUUUUUCCUUUUGAUAUGGCAGAAGAUAUGAAUGACUUCCACUUAUCCAAUGCGGGUUGCAUCAUUCACUGGGGAGAAGCAAGCAAUAGAUAAAUAUAGUCAGUCCUUAAUCAAAGUUUACAAGGCUGAAGUGCGAGAGGCACUAGCUUAAAAACAAACUGCCACCCCAAGUUUGUUAUAGAAGAAUAAAGAAAGAAGAUUAUGAAUUUUGCAAAGACAAGGGAUAAAGCAAGGAAUUUCUUCUAAAAACCAUGCUUAACAUACCUUAAUUGAGGUUUACGAAUUUCUGAAAUAGCUUAUAUAAGUAGCAGCAAUUUAUUUUGCAGAAUAACAUUCUAACUUUAUUUUAGCUUAUAAAUGUUGUUAGUGUACUAUAAAGAUCAAUCUUCAAUUUCAACAAGGUUAGUAUUAUUGUCUAUGAGAUGAAAUACAAUGGAUAGAUACAUAGUAUGCCAAAUUUACUAAUCUAAAAGCUACUAAAGAUGACAACUAACAAAACUGGGCAAAUAGCACAUGCUGAACAUUUUCUAGACCAUACAAAGAAGGUAGUAACAUUAGAAACUUUCUUUUGAAAUUUGGGAAGGGUUAUGAGUAAAAUAAGUAGAUGAGACAGCUACAUGUUAUCUUCCUCCCAUUGAAUAAGGAAGUUUGUGUCAUUGAGAUACUGUCUUAAAAGGUAUAUUUUAAAACUUCAUAAAACCAACCUAAUAAGAUUAUAUUUAGAUUUUAUAUAGGUUUAAUCAUUUAGAUUGUCUCUAUUUAUGAUGGAUUUUCUCAAUUAGGUUCCAGUAUUUUAAAAUGUCUCAAUUUA